UGGUGGGUAGUUUGACUGGGGCGGUCUCCUCCUAAAGAGUAACGGAGGAGCACGAAGGUUGGCUAAUCCUGGUCGGACAUCAGGAGGUUAGUGCAAUGGCAUAAGCCAGCUUGACUGCGAGCGUGACGGCGCGAGCAGGUGCGAAAGCAGGUCAUAGUGAUCCGGUGGUUCUGAAUGGAAGGGCCAUCGCUCAACGGAUAAAAGGUACUCCGGGGAUAACAGGCUGAUACCGCCCAAGAGUUCAUAUCGACGGCGGUGUUUGGCACCUCGAUGUCGGCUCAUCACAUCCUGGGGCUGAAGUAGGUCCCAAGGGUAUGGCUGUUCGCCAUUUAAAGUGGUACGCGAGCUGGGUUUAGAACGUCGUGAGACAGUUCGGUCCCUAUCUGCCGUGGGCGCUGGAGAACUGAGGGGGGCUGCUCCUAGUACGAGAGGACCGGAGUGGACGCAUCACUGGUGUUCGGGUUGUCAUGCCAAUGGCACUGCCCGGUAGCUAAAUGCGGAAGAGAUAAGUGCUGAAAGCAUCUAAGCACGAAACUUGCCCCGAGAUGAGUUCUCCCUGAGACUUAGAGUCUCCUGAAGGAACGUUGAAGACGACGACGUUGAUAGGCCGGGUGUGUAAGCGCAGCGAUGCGUUGAGCUAACCGGUACUAAUGAACCGUGAGGCUU
rnacentral:rRNA from 1 species